rnacentral:tRNA from 1 species
GCGUAAAUACGCGGAAAAACGGUCUUCUGAGCACUUGACUUUUAAUCAAGUUGUCCGGGGUUCGAAUCCCCGCACGCU